rnacentral:rRNA from 1 species
ACAUAUGACCAUAGGGUGUGGAAAAUAGGGCUUCCCGUCCGCUCAGCCGUACUCAAGCCACACGCCGGUGAGUUAGUAGUUGGGUGGGUGACCACCAGCGAAUCCUCACUGUUGUAUGUU